UUGUGACGCCCCGUGUUUAGUAACACAGCCUCAUCCAGCUUUGAUGGGACGCUGGUCACGUGUGGGUUUUCUCCACGUGCUCUGCAGCUCAGCCCUCAGAAGGAUGCUGUCUGUGGUGCUGUGACCAGCUGGUUUUAUGGAAAGCAAUCCCUUAGGCAAAGAGUCCCAGCCCCAGCUUGUGCAGAGCUGCACAGCAUCACCAGGGACACCAGCAGGCGUGCUUGGGCUGUUUCCAGCUUGUCACACCUACGCUGAUGGCUGUGGCGUGCAGCGAGAUCAGCUGUGGGCCUGACCUGGCAUGGACAGAGACUGAGAACAAGGGGAAGCCCCUGCUGGACCAUGAGGUGGCACCUGUGAAUGUUCCAGCUAUUGCUGCUGCCCAUGCUAUUAAGAGAUACGUUGCCCAGGCAGCGGAUGAACUCUCCUUUGAGGUGGGAGACAUCGUGUGU